GGGCUUGUGGUUUAGUGGUAUAAUACUCCCUUAGCAUCUCUUCAAGAGUUACGAAUGGGAGUGGUCCGGGGUUCGAGUAAGCAAUCCUG